rnacentral:rRNA from 1 species
UACGUAGGGGGCAAGCGUUGUCCGGAAUCAUUGGGCGUAAAGCGCGUGUAGGCGGCUCGGUAAAUCCGCUCUGAAAGCCCGGGGCUCAACCCCGGGAGGCGGGUGGAUACUGCUGAGCUCGAGUCCGGAAGAGGAGUGUGGAAUUCCUGGUGUAGCGGUGAAAUGCGCAGAUAUCAGGAGGAACACCAAUGGCGAAGGCAGCACUCUGGGACGGUACUGACGCUGAGACGCGAAAGCGUGGGGAGCAAACAGG